rnacentral:rRNA from 1 species
AAUUAAGCAUAUCAAUAAGCGGAGGAAAAGAAACCAACAGGGAUUGCCUCAGUAACGGCGAGUGAAGCGGCAACAGCUCAAAUUUGAAAUCUGGUCCCCCACAGGGGCCCGAGUUGUAAUUUGUAGAGGAGAUCUUCGGGUUUGGCCCCGGCCUAAGUUCCUUGGAACAGGACGUCACAGAGGGUGAGAAUCCCGUAUGUGGCUGGAGGUCUAUGCCCAUGUGAAGCUCCUUCGACGAGUCGAGUUGUUUGGGAAUGCAGCUCAAAAUGGGUGGUAAGUUUCAUCUAAAGCUAAAUACCGGCGGGAGACCGAUAGCGCACAAGUAGAGUGAUCGAAAGAUGAAAAGCACUUUGGAAAGAGAGUUAAAAAGUACGUGAAAUUGUUGAAAGGGAAGCGCUUGCGACCAGACUUGCCCUCGGCUGAUCAACCGGUGUUCCUCACCGGUGCACUCGGUCGUGGUCAGGCCAGCAUCGGUCUAGGCGGUUGGAGAAAGACCCUGUGGAAUGUGGCUCCCCUCGGGGAGUGUUAUAGCCCGGGGUGUCAUGCAGCCAGCCUGGACCGAGGACCGCGCCUUCGGGCUAGGAUGCNGGCGUAAUGGUCGUAAGCGACCCGUCUUGAAACACGGACCAAGGAGUCUAACAUCUAUGCGAGUGUUUGGGUGUAAAACCCAUGCGCGUAAUGAAAGUGAACGGAGGUGGGAACCCCUGAGGGUGCACCAUCGACCGAUCCUGAUGUCUUCAGAUGGAUUUGAGUAAGAGCAUAGCUGUUGGGACCCGAAAGAUGGUGAACUAUGCCUGAAUAGGGUGAAGCCAGAGGAAACUCUGGUGGAGGCUCGCAGCGGUUCUGACGUGCAAAUCGAUCGUCAAAUUUGGGUAUAGGGGCGAAAGACUAAUCGA